AACGAACGCUGGCGGCAGGCUUAACACAUGCAAGUCGAACGCACCUUUCGGGGUGAGUGGCAGACGGGUGAGUAACGCGUGGGAAUCUACCCUUCUCUACGAGAUAGCUCCGGGAAACUGGAAUUAAUACCGUAUACGUCCUGAGGGAGAAAGAUUUAUCGGGGAAGGAUGAGCCCGCGUUGGAUUAGCUAGUUGGUGGGGUAAAGGCCUACCAAGGCGACGAUCCAUAGCUGGUCUAAGAGGAUGAUCAGCCACAUUGGGACUGAGACACGGCCCAAACUCCUACGGGAGGCAGCAGUGGGGAAUAUUGGACAAUGGGCGCAAGCCUGAUCCAGCCAUGCCGCGUGAGUGAUGAAGGCCCUAGGGUUGUAAAGCUCUUUCAGUGGGGACGAUAAUGACGGUACCCACAGAAGAAGCCCCGGCUAACUUCGUG
rnacentral:rRNA from 1 species